rnacentral:rRNA from 1 species
UAGGGAAUAUUGGUCAAUGGACGAAAGUCUGAACCAGCAACGCCGCGUGCACGAUGAAGGCCUUCGGGUUGUAAAGUGCUUUUCGGGGUGAUGAGGAAGGACAGUACCCCCGGAAUAAGGAUCGGCUAACUACGUGCCAGCAGCCGCGGUAACACGUAGGAUUCAAGCGUUAUCCGAAUUUACUGGGCGUAAAGCGCGUGCAGGCGGUUUGGUAAGUUGGAUGUGAAAGCUCCUGGCUCAACUGGGAGAGGCCGUUCAAAACUACCAAACUAGAGGACAGCAGAGGGAGGUGGAAUUCCAGGUGUAGUAGUGAAAUGCGUAGAUAUCUGGAGGAACACCAGAGGCGAAGGCGGCCUCCUGGGCUGUUUCUGACGCUAAGACGCGAAAGCUAGGGUAGCAAACGGGAUUAGAAACCCCGGUAGUCCUAGCCGUAAACGAUGUAGAUUUGGUGUCGGUGGGGUUAAAUCCAUCGGUAUCGUAGCUAACGCGAUAAGUCUACCGCCUGGGGAUUACGACCGCAAGGUU